rnacentral:rRNA from 1 species
UACAGAGGUCUCGAGCGUUGUUCGGAUUCAUUGGGCGUAAAGGGCGCGUAGGCGGCGGGGUAAGUCUGGUGUGAAAUCUCGGAGCUCAACUCCGAAAUUGCACUGGAUACUGCUCUGCUAGAGGGCUGGAGAGGAGAUCGGAAUUCACGGUGUAGCAGUGAAAUGCGUAGAUAUCGUGAGGAAGACCAGUGGCGAAGGCGGCUCUCUGGACAGCUCCUGACGCUGAGGCGCGAAGGCUAGGGGAGCAAACGGG